rnacentral:lncRNA from 1 species
UGUAAGAAUCCAAAAUAUCAGACCCUGAGAACUGUUAUGGAAUUUUCAUGAGACAAGAUGCAGUGCUCCAAUGCACUUUCUAAUCUGAGAAAUGAUGAAGAAAGCAGCUGUUCAGCUGUUCAAUUCAAAUCACUGUUGACAAUGCAAACUUAGGCUAGAGAAACAGAGCUACACUACAGCAGGGGGUAAUGCGAGAAAGUCAUCCUUCUCCUUCCACCUCAAGCCCCCCUUCUUGACCCUUAUGUUACCUUCUGAUUAGAGCACAUUUCACAUAAAAUGUUCAAGGUUUUAAUAUGGUUUAUCUUGCAGCACUAUAUUCAUGUUUGGUAACAUUUUAAAUGUCUCUGUGUGAUUGGUAAAGUGGUCUUAUUUUACAGUAAUAUUUCACUGGUAUAUGUUGAUUGGGUUUUUGACAUAGAUAAGAUCUUCACAAGAUGCUCUCCCUCCUCAGAGAUGGUUAAGUCCUCAAAUUCACCAGGCAAGGGUUUCUGUGACACUUCUAUUGUCUUGAAUUUAUGGGUGUUUGUUUUGACUUGAGUAUAUAAGGUAAAGAUGUGAUAUGGGUCAGGGGGAUCUUGUAAAAAGACACCCCAUUGCAGUAUCUCUGAGACUUAUGCUGCAAUGUAUUUCUCUGGUCAGGUUUGCAUCUAUAAUUCUUGGAUUUAUCUUUGAUUAAUGGAUGUUGUAUUGCUACAGUCUCAUCUCUGAAUUG